CAGUGACCUGCCUCCUCCUUGCUGGACUGCUCUUACUGGCCAAUGUAUUUCUGUCUCAAGAAAUUUUGCGUGUGGUUUUGGCAGUACUGGGAAUCAGAUGUGUUGUGGUCUGUGCUUCCUGAAAUGCUGUCUUUUCCACUGAGCUCCUACCUACAGUAGUCAGGUACAUGUGCAGAGGACUUAUUCUCACUGUAGAUCAGAGUGGGGCAAUGCUGGCCCCAUUAGUGAAUACACUUAGGCACUACAUUCCAGCCAUGCUGCAGAUCAUCUUUUCAGUCAUAGCCGUCAUUGCCAGCCUUGUGAUCUUCUUCUUCCUCCCUGAAACCAAGAACCAGCCAAUGCCUGACACCAUCCAAGAUAUAGAAUGUGGACAUUCAAGAGAAUAAGCAAGACCAGAAGAUGAAGGUGACACCAUGGUGAAAAUAAGCCGGUUUUAGAAUUGCUCCUGGAGUCUGACUGAGAAGAAAUCAAUGUAGUCUAACCUGGGGUUUCCUCGUCUCCUGGUGGGGAGACAAUGUGUCCAGCAUUUAGACCACCAGUGGUUCUGCUUGGACUCCAGGCUUCCAGGAGUUUUCAGUAGUGGGAAUCAAUCAAAAAGUGUUAAUUAAACACUUACUGAACAUCUCUGUACCACCUCACACCUAACUGAUUAACUAAUAUGACAGAAAAGGAAAAUUAUAAAUGUUGGAGGGAAUGUGGGAAAAAUGGGACACUAAUGCACUGUUAGUGGAGUUGUGAACUGCUCCAUCCAUUCUGGAGAGCAAUUUGGAACUGUGCCCAAUCAUAAGGCAAAUCAAGCUAUGCAUACCCUUUAAUCCAGCAAUACCACUAUAGAUCUGUUUCUCAAGAGAUUUUUUUUAAAAGGGAAAAGGACCUAGUUGUAUAAAAACAUAUAUUGUAACUCUUUCUGUGGUGGCAAAGAAUAGGAAAUUAAGGGGAUGUCAAUCAAUUGAGGAAUGGCUGAACAAGUUGUGGUAUAUGAUUAUCAUUUAAUACUCUUGUGCUAUAAGAAAUAACUAGCAUGAUGUUUUCAAAAAACAUGGAAAGACUUACAUGAACUGAUACAAAGUGAAGUGAGCAGGACCAGGAGAACACUGCACAUAGUAAUAGCAGCAUUGUAUUUUAACUAUAAAUAACUUAACUAUUCCCAGCAAUACAAUGAUCUAAGGCAAUCUAAAGGUCUCAUGAGGAAAAAUGCUGUCCACCUCCAGAGAAAGAACUGAUGGAGUCUGAAUGCAGAUCGAAGCAUACUAUUUUCACUUCCUUUAUUUUCUCAUGUUUUUUUUUUCAGCCUGUUUCUUCUUUCACAACAUGACUAACAUAGAAAUGUGCUUUACAUGAUUGCAUAUAUAUAACCUUAUAUCAAUCAACACUUACUGUCUUAGGUUGAGGGAGGUGAGGAAGGGUAGGAGAAAAUUUGGAACUCAAAAUUUUUAAAUAAAUGUUAAAAUGUGUCUUUACA
rnacentral:lncRNA from 1 species